GCGUAGCUUAAUUGGUAAAGCGCCUGACUGUGGAUCAGGGGAUUGCCGGUUCAAAUCCGGUCGCGAGCCCCA
rnacentral:tRNA from 1 species